rnacentral:rRNA from 1 species
UGGGGAAUAUUGGACAAUGGGCGAAAGCCUGAUCCAGCAAUGCCGCGUGAGUGAUGAAGGCCUUCGGGUUGUAAAGCUCUGUCGGGAGGGACGAAAAAGCAGCCUAACUACCUGCCUUGACGGUACCUCCAAAGGAAGCACCGGCUAACUCUGUGCCAGCAGCCGCGGUAAUACAGAGGGUGCAAGCGUUGUUCGGAAUUACUGGGCGUAAAGCGCGUGUAGGUGGCUGCGUAAGUCGGAUGUGAAAUCCCUCGGCUUAACCGAGGAAGUGCAUUCGAUACUGCGUAGCUUGAGUGUUGGAGGGGAUGGCGGAAUUCCCGGUGUAGAGGUGAAAUUCGUAGAUAUCGGGAGGAACACCUGUGGCGAAGGCGGCCAUCUGGACAACUACUGACACUGAGACGCGAAAGCGUGGGUAGCAAACAGG